GAUGAAGAACGUAGUGAAAUGCGAUAAGUAAUGUGAAUUGCAGAAUUCAGUGAAUCAUCGAAUCUUUGAACGCACAUUGCGCCUGCCAGCACUCUGGCAGGCAUGCCUGUUCGAGCGUCAUUUCAACCAUCAAGCCCUAGGCUUGCGUUGGAGCCCUGCGGCUGCCGCAGGCCCCUAAAAGCAGUGGCGGGCUCGCUAUCACACCGAGUGCAGUAGAUUACUCUUCGCUCAGGGCGUGUGGCGGGUUCCAGCCGUGAAACCCCCUACUUCUCAAGGUUGACCUCGGAUCAGGUAGGAAUACCCGCUGAACUUAAGCAUAUCAAUAAGCGGAGGA
rnacentral:misc_RNA from 1 species